rnacentral:rRNA from 1 species
UACGUAGGGGGCAAGCGUUGUCCGGAUUUAUUGGGCGUAAAGAGCGUGUAGGCGGUUAGGUAGGUCCGUUGUGAAAACUCGAGGCUCAACCUCGAGACGCCGAUGGAAACCAUCUGACUAGAGUCCGGAAGAGGAGAGUGGAAUUCCUGGUGUAGCGGUGAAAUGCGCAGAUAUCAGGAAGAACACCUAUGGCGAAGGCGGCUCUCUGGGACGGUACUGACGCUGAGACGCGAAAGCGUGGGGAGCGAACAGG